rnacentral:lncRNA from 1 species
UUUUUUUUUUUUUUUUUUGUACUUUUAGUAGACAUGGGGUUUUACCAUUUUGGCCAGGCUGGUCUUGAACUCCUGACCUCAAAUGAUUUGCCUGCCUCAGCCUCCUAAAGUGCUGGGAUUACAGGUGUGAGGCACCGUGCCCGGCCUGGCUAUUUUUUAAGACACUGCAACAACACUGUAUGAACAAUCUCUACCUUGAAGCAGGGGGUUCCUUCAGCUCAGCACGGCUGUGAACUGAGCCGAGGCUCAGGGGAUCCCUGGUCCCUCCUUGCUUGCACUGAAGGUCUCCCUGAGAGCAGGGGCAGCCCCCACACCAGCUGGUCCUCUCUGUGUUGUGGGCAUGUGGUGGAGCUGCUGUAGGUAGAGGUGUGUGCACACCGCUGGGGUGGUUACAUUCAUGGGCAGUUCCCCUGGAUGUCUCACUGUCAGCGGGUCCAGGAAUCCAGGCUGCAGUCCCUGAGCUGAGCUGUCUCAGUCCAGGAUUACUGCUUCAUAACGACACCUGGGCAGAUAAAGGUCUUUGAGGAGAGACUUCAAGGAGACCACAGAUGUGGCUGGAGAGCUCCCCCAUUGUCUGAGCACCUAUUUCCUGAGUGGCUGCUCACCCAAGGCACUGGACACCGAGGGGAGAUGGCUGGUGACUGAUCCCAGAGCUGGCUGAGAGCCGUGGGCAUUCUUACUCCACUGCAGAGGAACUGUUUAAGGAUCUACCUUGUAUUCACCCACCAGACCCAAUGCAGACCCCUCAAACGGUCCCAGUCAGUAGCUUCCAGUGGGAAUGACUUCUGGACUUUUCGGAAGUGACUUCAGGUUGGAAAUGGCAGCCUUGUGGCUGCUCUCAAGUUUCCUGUAAUAUGAUUAAAUCUGAUUUUUAACUUCUUCUCCUUUCUCUUUCAUUGAGGGGAAAACAUUCUUUUAUUCCUGGAAUAUUAACAUCCCUCUUUGUGCAGUUCUCUGCUCUACAUAGGAAACAAGUUCACACCUCAUACCAAAUCAGACAGCUCCAGUUCAAAGAGGCUCAGACAGAAAGAACUCCUCAGACCUGUAUCCCGAAAAUAUUUUAAAUCAAUUUGUCGAACUAUAAAAUCAGGUCUAAGAGCUCCUGACUCUUCAAUACACUGUCCUACAAAGAAAGCCCAGAGCCCAUAAAACUAACUGAAUACAUGAAGAACAUGAUAGAUUGAGGAUUCACUGCCUGCCGCCCCAGGUUAACAACAGACCAUAUGUGCUCAUUGCUGAGCUCCACCUGACCAUGAGUGGCCUAGCAGUUCAUUUCCAGCUUCACUUCCUGUGAUUUGAUGGUGCCUAGAUGCUACCGACUGGUACUCACUUUAGCAGUAACAAAAAGAAAAACCACUUCACGUGUAUCAGAACGGCUAACCCUUGCCAUCUUUCAGCUCUAGAUGCAAACAGCCCAGAAUUCAAGGCAGUCAUAGCCUACAUUGUUCAUGAUAAAUCCUCCCAAUCCCAUUAAUGAGAACACUCAUUAGACAGGAUUCCCGUGACAGCCCAGAAUGAACCAGCCUGGCUCUCCCUGAAUCGAUCUGGUAAGUCCCUGCGCUAAUUGGCCAGCUUCCUGUAGGCUGGCAGUGGGGGCACCAGUGUGAGGUGAAAGGAUUCUAGGCCGAGAGCCUGGGCUCUGCAUCUUGCUUCAUGUGGCUCUAGAAGUCUCUUGGCCUGACUGAGGCUCAGUUUUCUCACCUGGAAAUGGGAAUGAAUGGCACCUUCUGUGUAGAGUUCCUGUGUGUGUCAAUGUGUCUGGUGAGCACUGAUGGGUGGGGGCUUAUUGCUAUUGACCAGAAGCUUGGCAGGAAUCUCAGAGUCAAUGGGAUAAAAUGCAGCAUUUGACCCUGAGACCCAAGCGGGGAGGGGAUCACCAGUUAUGAAUGGCAGACAACCAAGGAAUGAGAGUGGGAGGGGUCAUGUAGAAUGGACAAUUGUCAUCAAGCCUGGAGAUGUUCCCAGAUCAUGAGGGAGGGCAGGGAUCCCGUGUCAGUUGUCAUGUUUAGGAGCGGGAGCCAUCUGCUCUGGCAAGCCUAGAAGGGAUCGUCCGUCAUUUUAACUUGCUUCCCUCGUACAUUUGUUGCAGAUGCUG